AAAAAAAAAUAUAUAUAUAUGUAAAAAAAUAAUAACCCUCACAGAGGAGAUCCUGCUGCCGGGGUGGUGGGGCUGGCUGGUGCCAGGAAAUGCUCAGGGUGGGGACUUGGACUGGACCCAGGACCAGCAGUGUGGUGGCCCUGGACCUGUCUCUGUCCCUGUCUUCACACAGCCCCAUCCCCUGGGAUGGCCUUCAUUCAAAAUAGGGGAUUACAGAGGAGCCAAGUCCUCGUGGGUUCCCUCCUGGAUAAGGGAAAUCCCGUCUGGGAAAAGGAGAAGAGGCCACAAAGAGCACAGGAGCAAAGCUCGGCACAGCCACGCUGACAGGGACAGCCCCGUCCAUCACUCAUGGCUGUGCUCUCAGGGGGAGCUGGUGAUGUUUCAUCCCACCCUGAGGGGAUCUGGGUCUUUUGGGGAAGAGGUGGCAGCACAAGGUCAGCACAAGGUCAGACUCCUUUCCCUGCAGCCACCGUGACCCCUGCACACCUCCCUUGGCACUUACAACGUGCUGUGCCCCCAUCCCAGGGAAAAACAGGAGGGGAAGAGACUCCCCAGCUUUAAACUUGUCCCCUCUCCCCCUGCUGUGACCCCAGGCCGGGCUGGCAUGGCGAGGGUGGGCACUGCCGUGGCUGCGGCCCUGGCUCGAGGCGCUGCCCCUCGCUGCAGACAUGUGAACGCUCCCAUCCCUCAGAAUGGAGUUUCUCCCUCCCUGAAAAGCCGCCUGCGCUCUGCGGCCGGGCGGCUCUUGUCAGGCUGCCAGAGGAGGCCGGAGCAGCGUCACAUGCAGCAAAGUUUUACAAGGCGAGCGAGCGUCUGGGGAGAGGGACGGGAGAGGGACCGACCGCCGCACGCACACACUCGGACGCGCACGCGGAGAAACCUCCUCCAGCUCUCAUCCCAACGCUGAUUUUUUUUUCUUCCCUCCUUUUUUUUCCUUUUGUUUUUGGAAGAACAAAGACUUUGGGGUGGGUUGGCGCUGUUGUUUUUCCGGGAUUGCUGUCGGUGGAUGGUGGGAGGCUGGAGGUGGAGGGGGGCAGACGGUGGCUUGAAUGUGAGAAAGUCCCAAAUUUCUCUGGCCGAGUUGCCGAGAUCAUCUGUGCAAAACUUAGAGGAGGAAAGACGGGGGGGGGGGGGG